UGUGUGACGACACGCAGCUCUGAUGUUCCGCAGCUGACCCACAGCGGCCUCGGGGCAGGGGUAAAGCUCACCAACACGCUGAGCACAGAGAAAGGCGCGUGUGCUGUUUGAGCCCAGGUGAUAAGUUUCCUCAUCUGUGAAGUGGGGUAACGCCUGUCUCCCGGGAUGCUGUAAGGAGUCCCUGCACUCGGGCACAGAGAGCCCUGAGUGUAUGCAGUAGGCGACGGUUCGUGCCUCUGUUUAUUCAGUCCCAGCUUCAUCGCUAAGGAGUUCUGGGACCUGGAGCAGCUUACCUCCCCUGCAUCUCCACGUCAGAGAAGGGGCCAUCCUUACGGGAGCCGAUUACAGGGUCAGUAAGCAUCCAGCGUCUGAGAAAGGGGACCGAGAAGGAGGGGAGCACUACGGCACCCCACCCAGGGGUCUCAUGCCUGUGGGACCAGGAUUUGGGGCACUGGCCUUCGGGGUCCCCGUCGUCCUAAAGGCCAGCACUGUGAGGACAUGCCACCGUUCCACUGUCUCGGCCUUCUUGUCGGAAGGUAAUAUCUUAUAGAGGAAGGAGUCAUCUUCUAAAAGCUCUAAGCCAGAGAAACCCUCGAAGCCUUCCUGGAAACAAGGGUGAAAGGUCAGCAGGACUCGUGUGGCUGGGAGGGGCACACGCAUGGGCCUCCCCCUUCAUGCCCCCGCAGCCUGGGCACGGCAGGCGUGAUUCAGUGUGAGUCCCUCGGAGCAGCCUGCGUGCGGGGGCACCAAUCCUCCUGCACUGAAGACACAGGAGAGAGAGGACCGAUUCAGGGACUCGCCAGCUACGUCCGCAGGCGGGCUGUUGGCUGCGGGACUUUCCCCAACAGCAGCCCCGUCACCAAGGAGAGCGCAGGUCACUGUGAGGCCUGGUCCUGCCGUCCACGGGCCCUGGAGGAGGCAGCGUCCUCACGUCUGCGCUCACUGCCGCUGGGGCCUUGCCUGCGGUGCCCCUCUGUGCGUCCCGGCCCCCUUCUCACGGAGAUACCUGAGGUGGCGGCCUGCGUGUCCUGUUCACGGUCACGCAAGGGGAGGCAGAGCGGUGACCUGGACUCCAGCCCUCUCUGCGGAGGCCGAGGCCGCAGGAGCCGCCCACCCCCACACCGCCCCCAUUCCUCGAGAGCCUGCCUGGAGCAGGAUAUUAGGCAACUCGUUUUCCACGUCGGCUUGCUCAGUCGAUUGCCUCCCACGGCACAUGAUUCUCCACAUUGCAAAGGCCCGCAGGUGGGCCCGAAGUCCCGGCCGGGCUGCUGGGCUUUGUACCCUGGGGCGCAUCUGUCCAUCCUGGCUGGAGGUUUCCCUGUAACAGGGAGGCGGGGGAGAAGCCUUCCCCCCUCGGCCAGUCGGUGCCGUGGAGGGACAGGAGUGAGGACUCCGCCGAGCUUUGCACCCAUCCACGCGCCACCCAUUAGCCUCUCGCUUGUCACCACGUAUCAGAGGACACGCUUCGCAGAAAGGGAGGGGAGAGAGCAGAUGGCAGUGCCCCGCACCCAGGGCUCCUUAGGAGAGCGCAGCGGAGCAGACUGACUGGAUCAUUUGGAAGCAGCACCUCCGCCGACCCCCGAGAGACUCCAGGGCAGACCCUCAGGCUGCGGGAAGGUCUAAGCAGGAGUCACUCCAGGUGCAACAAUUCCGCCCUUUCUACUCCUCCCACACGCCGGCAUCGAAGGGGGUUGUUACUGUGCGUUGUCUGAAUUAACCUGUUU